UUUCUUGUUUCUAUUUUACUUUUUUUUUUUUUUUUUCAAAUUUACCAAUUUCGCACAAAAUGGUUGAUAUCAAGAAGGACAAGAAG
rnacentral:ribozyme from 1 species